rnacentral:rRNA from 1 species
UGGGGAAUAUUGCACAAUGGGGGAAACCCUGAUGCAGCGACGCCGCGUGAACGAAGAAGGUAUUCGUAUCGUAAAGUUCUGUCCUAUGGGAAGAUAAUGACAGUACCAUAGAAGAAAGCUCCGGCUAAAUACGUGCCAGCAGCCGCGGUAAUACGUAUGGAGCGAGCGUUGUCCGGAAUUAUUGGGCGUAAAGGGUACGCAGGCGGUUUAAUAAGUCGAAUGUUAAAGAUCGGGGCUCAACCCCGCAAAGCAUUGGAAACUAAUAAACUUGAGUAGUGGAGAGGAAAGUGGAAUUCCUAGUGUAGUGGUGAAAUACGUAGAUAUUAGGAGGAAUACCAGUAGCGAAGGCGACUUUCUGGACACAAACUGACGCUGAGGUACGAAAGCGUGGGGAGCAAACAGG